ACGGGGAAAAUCCAAUCCCAGGGAAAUCUUGAAUGUUGGAGAUGACCUCCAAAGCGUCAGAGCGUAGAAGGAUAUUUCUCAAGCCUAGAUCAGUCGCUCUUUCCACUCCCAGCAAGAGAGCUUGAGCUUGAGCUAAAGAAGAAGACCCGCAGCAACAAUCUUUCGAAACACAAUCCAGAAGCUCACCACCAUCCGAUCUGAAAACUACCCCUAAUCCACAGGGCCCCAGCUUUGUCCAUGAAGCAUCACAGCACACAUCGGCAGUACCACAUGGCGGAGGCUGCCAUUUCGCCUGAGGAGGGUCAGUGAUCGCUCUCAAAUGCACCUUACUACUUGCUUACUAGUACUCCACGGCCAGAUUAUAGCCCGAUGUAAUCACAACUUUGAGGGAAAAUAUACUGAAUUACCGACAGUCAUUGAAUACACUAGAAAACCCCAAGAAAGUACUCAAAUCAAAACCUGAGUAGAACAGCAAGACACAUCAAUCCUCAUAAAUUACUUGAUCAUACAGAUUGUUGAGAAACUUGGUACAAGAGUCAGCUGCAUACAGUGUUGCAUAAGGGAAGGGUUAUCUGAAGUUCAUUAAAUCCAACAUUUAACUGAAUAUAAGAACUGUCGGUUCAAACAAGUAUAAGAGAAGGAUAACAGAUAAAGAAAGAAAGAGACUAAGACCAACUUCAUCACACAUUCACACUAGCGUGCAGCAAGGUAGUCAUAUGCAUCUCAGCGCACAU